rnacentral:RNase_P_RNA from 1 species
UCAGAAGAGCAGGACAUGGCCGAUCCGCCCCUCGGGUCGGAGGAAAGUCCGGACUGCGUGGGACAGCACACUGGCUAAUAUACCAGGCGGGGCGACCCGACGAUUAGAGCAACAGUGACGUAAACGAUUAAAUUCGAGUGAAACGGGCAAUCUCUGUGCGCAGCAACUUCAAAUAGGCCCCCUAUACGAGUCCCAGGUUGGGGGCGGGUAGAAGGCUUGACAAUUGUGGUAACACAAAUUGCAGAUUAAUCAUGUCCGCUACCUUGGCUUGGUUCCCAAAAGACACUGGGCCAGGGCAGAACAGAAUCCGGCUUAUACGCUUUUACUGAUAAC